rnacentral:rRNA from 1 species
GGAAUAUUGCGCAAUGGAGGAAACUCUGACGCAGUGACGCCGCGUGCAGGAAGAAGGUUUUCGGAUUGUAAACUGCUUUAGACAGGGAAGAAAAAGACAGUACCUGUAGAAUAAGCUCCGGCUAACUACGUGCCAGCAGCCGCGGUAAUACGUAGGGAGCGAGCGUUAUCCGGAUUUAUUGGGUGUAAAGGGUGCGUAGACGGGAAGGUAAGUUGGUUGUGAAAUCCCCAGGCUUAACUUGGGAACUGCAACCAAAACUGUCUUUCUUGAGUGUUGGAGAGGAAAGUGGAAUUCCUAGUGUAGCGGUGAAAUGCGUAGAUAUUAGGAGGAACACCAGUGGCGAAGGCGACUUUCUGGACAAUAACUGACGUUGAGGCACGAAAGUGUGGGGAGCAAACA